GAUGAACGCUGGCGGCGUGCCUAAUACAUGCAAGUCGAGCGAACAGACGAGGAGCUUGCUCCUCUGACGUUAGCGGCGGACGGGUGAGUAACACGUGGAUAACCUACCUAUAAGACUGGGAUAACUUCGGGAAACCGGAGCUAAUACCGGAUAAUAUAUUGAACCGCAUGGUUCAAUAGUGAAAGACGGUUUUGCUGUCACUUAUAGAUGGAUCCGCGCCGCAUUAGCUAGUUGAUAAGGUAACGGCUUACCAAGGCAACGAUGCGUAGCCGACCUGAGAGGGUGAUCGGCCACACUGGAACUGAGACACGGUCCAGACUCCUACGGGAGGCAGCAGUAGGGAAUCUUCCGCAAUGGGCGAAAGCCUGACGGAGCAACGCCGCGUGAGUGAUGAAGGUCUUCGGAUCGUAAAACUCUGUUAUUAGGGAAGAACAAAUGUGUAAGUAACUAUGCACGUCUUGACGGUACCUAAUCAGAAAGCCACGGCUAACUACGUG
rnacentral:rRNA from 1 species